CCCCGUACCUAAGGUUGGGUUAGGUCAGGUCAAUACGCAUCGGCCAAAGUUCAUCGAUCUCUGUAUCAUUGAAGACGUAUUUUUCGAUAACUAUAUUUUUAAACGUCCAAUAAAAUAUUCGCAAGGCGUGUUCUUACGUCCCGUCGCUUCAGUAUUGAAUCGUGAAUUAACAAAUCAUCUGGGCGAGUGUCUGAAAAACGAUUCACGUGACUUCUUAUCGUUUCAUGCGGAGACUGGAGUCCGGUAGUUGGCCGGUAGUAAGUGGUCACCACUGACGGGCUCGAGGGGUCAACGUCGGG